CUAUCGAUAUCAACGAACAAAGCGAAUGAUAUGUCAGCACCUCGUUAUAGAUACAAUCGAAAAUCAUAAAUACCGCCAAUCGGACACGACACAACGCAAAACGAAUCCAAACAAAGCCACUGACAAACAGUUUUAUCAUUUGAAACCAUAAAGCAUGCUACCCACUGAGUUGCGGAGCUACCACAAAGGGAAAAGUAUAAUAUUAUAAGACCCCGCUGAGUUCUUUAGUGAACGGAUGAAGACGGUUCAAGGUUAAGGAGUGGCAACCUUGCACCGGAAAGCAAGAAAAAUGUGUUUUUAAGAAUAAUUAGCCAGAAGGUGAAUACGCAUCAAGUGAGUCGGAGUAAGUUACUAGACUCAAGCAGCACGAGAUCGUACGAUCAUAUGCCGGAAAAGAUUAAUCUUGCAUGCUGGAGGAUGUAUUUACUAAGAUCUCUUCUACAAAUGUACGAUGAAUAAAGAUGCUGACUUGCCGUUCAAUAUUUGUACAAAAUAAGCAAAUUAAUAAAGUUUUUAUCAAUUACUUUCCAAAACAGGAUAUUAUUUGACAAUCCAAUUUAAACGAAUUGAAAAUAAAUGAGGCCUCGCAUCCUGAACGAAUCCAAAAGAAAUGACCAAAUCAUCACAGUACGAUCGGACAAAAGAUAACGCCUGUA